AUGGCUGAACCCAACUCGUACGAGGAGCAGCGCAGGAGGCAGGUGGAGGAGAACAAGCGGAAGCUGGAGGAGCUGCGCCUGCACCGCCUCUCCGCCGCCGUCAAGCCCAUGCCGCCACAGACCAAGCAGCUGAAGUUGCGGAAGGCUGCCGCGCCACCAGCACUGACCCAGCGGUCCGGCCGCGUCGCCAGUCUUCUCAGGCAACCUGAUUACCGCAACAUCAGUAUCCUGAGCGGAACAUAUGUCAGUAAGACAUUACCACCUGAUCUAGUGUACGUGGCUGAGGAAGUGAGGGCCUACGCCUUCAGCAAGGCCAAAGAGCUCAAGAACCAGCUGUGCUCUGACCACCCCUCUUUCAUCAAGCCCAUCUCCAAUUAUGCUGCCACAAGUUCCUGGCUGAACAUCCGGUCACAGGUCAAUAAGAGGUAUCUCACGUGGAGUGAUGAGAUGGUCUUUCUGGUGGAUGAAGAGGAUGGCGAGUUUCACAUGCCUUACCAUGCGCUAAGUGGUUCCUUCGGCAAUGGAUGGAAAUGGUUCGCCAUUGGUCACAAGCUGGCUGAUGGUGAUUGCUUGGUGUUCCAUCUAGUUGAGAAGACAAAGUUCAAGGUUUACAUAAUUAGAGCAAGUUCCUAUUACGAAAAGGACCUGUUGACGCCUUUAGCUCAACCAUUGUGA
rnacentral:rRNA from 1 species